CCUACGGGUGGCUGCAGUGAGGAAUAUUGGUCAAUGGACGAGAGUCUGAACCAGCCAAGUCGCGUGAAGGAUGACUGCCCUAUGGGUUGUAAACUUCUUUUAUAUGGGAAUAAAAUGUUCCACGUGUGGGAUUUUGUAUGUACCAUAUGAAUAAGGAUCGGCUAACUCCGUGCCAGCAGCCGCGGUAAUACGGAGGAUCCGAGCGUUAUCCGGAUUUAUUGGGUUUAAAGGGAGCGUAGGUGGAGUGUUAAGUCAGUUGUGAAAGUUUGCGGCUCAACCGUAAAAUUGCAGUUGAAACUGGCAGUCUUGAGUACAGGAGAGGUGGGCGGAAUUCGUGGUGUAGCGGUGAAAUGCUUAGAUAUCACGAAGAACUCCGAUUGCGAAGGCAGUUCACUGGACUGCAACUGACACUGAGGCUCGAAAGUGUGGGUAUCAAACAGGAUUAGAUACCCGGGUAGUC
rnacentral:rRNA from 1 species